rnacentral:rRNA from 1 species
GACGAACCGUGCGAACGUUAUUCGGAAUCAUUGGGCUUAAAGGGCGCGUAGGCGGCGGUGUAAGUUGGAAGUGAAAUCCCAUCGGCUCAACCGUGGAAUUGCUCCCAGUACUGCAUCGCUCGAGGGGGAUAGGGGUUUGCGGAACUACCGGUGGAGCGGCGAAAUGUGUUGAUAUCGGUGGGAACGCCAGUGGCGAAAGCGGCAAACUUGACCCUUCCUGACGCUGAGGCGCGAAAGCUAGGGGAGCAAACGGG